AGCCUCAUGAUAUAUUUAUAUGAGGUGUAUCCUGCCCAGUGAAUUUUUAACGGCCGCAGUACCCUGACUGUGCAAAGGUAGCAUAAUCAUUUGCCUUUUAAUUGAAGGCUAGUAUGAAUGGAUUUACGAAAAUAAAGCUGUCUCUGCUAUACAACUAAAAACUAGAACUUAGGUGCAAAUACCUAAAUAAAAAUAAAGGACAAAAAGACCCUGUAGAGCUUUAUUUACUAAAGAUUUAACUAAUACAAGAUAUUCUAAAUAUUUUAAAUAAAUUUUGUUGGGGCGACAAAGGAAUAUAUAAAUCUUCCAAAACAAUAAAGAAAACAAAUCAUUCAAAUGAUCCUAUAAAGACCAAAGAAAACAGCUACCUCAGGGAUAACAGGCUAAUCUCCCUAGAGAGUUCAUAUUGAUAGGGAGGAUUGGCACCUCGAUGUUGGCUUAAGAUAUCCUUUAGGCGGAGAAGCUUAAAAAGGUUGGUUUGUUCAACCAUUAAAAUCUU
rnacentral:rRNA from 1 species